rnacentral:lncRNA from 1 species
UAGCUGAACCAAGGAAGGAAAUCCUGGAAUCCCCCUCCAGAUAAACAGCUGACCUUUAGCCCAGCGCUCAGCCCAGUCGCAGGCUUGGGUACCCCCACCCUACCUGAAGCAGAAUUAACACGCAAGUGCAGACAAGCUUUGGGAGUCAGCCCAGCCCUGUAACAAACAGGAUCAACGGUACCGUGGGGUCAAGCCGUGCCUAGUGGGAUUUCAUACACACACUGACAGGCGAACAGAGCAGGUUUGUCCUUUCCCCUCUGGAGGAGUUUACACAGCAGGUUCACCAACUGCUCUUCACCGAGCACAGAGCUUAUUCACUGCAGUACUUUAAUUAGCCCCGUGACAGUAAGAAAUAAAGAACGUGCUCUUCAUGCA